AAAGGCAAGGAUGAUAUACAUUUGCCCUCACUUAGACCAUAGUUAGUUGAUGAGGGUGUUAUUCUGAUCUGUCUUA